ACGUUAUUCGGAAUCACUGGGCUUAAAGCGCGUGUAGGCGGCCUGGAGCGUCAGCAGCUGAAAUCCCCCGGCUCAACCGGGGAACGGGCUCUGAAACGUCCAGGCUGGAGGGGGGUAGGGGGAGCCGGAACUCACGGUGGAGCGGUGAAAUGCGUUGAGAUCGUGAGGAACGCCCGUGGCGAAAGCGGGCUCCUGGACCCCACCUGACGCUGAGACGCGAAAGCUA
rnacentral:rRNA from 1 species